GUAUGGUCCCUAACCAUUUUAUUGGGUGAUGCAAUUAUAGAACAUAGGAUUUGGCUGCAUGUCUUCAUCUUAUAAAAAUCACACUUCUAGCUAAGAAGAUAUGUAUUUGUGCAUGACCAGUCCCAAACUAACCUUAACUUGGGCUGGCUCUGGGUCAAGGGCUUAUCCUUUUUGGUCGUUUUGGGUCCAACCUUUUCCCUGGACACUCCAAAAUACCGAGUAGAGAUUUUGUUGAUUAUAUCGGCUCCAAUUGCUUAAAGAUUAUUGUGAUAGCCCAAAAUCCAACCCAACUAAGCCCAGCCCAGC
rnacentral:lncRNA from 1 species